rnacentral:rRNA from 1 species
ACGCUGGCGGCAUGCCUUACACAUGCAAGUCGAACGGCAGCACGGAGCUUGCUCUGGUGGCGAGUGGCGAACGGGUGAGUAAUAUAUCGGAACGUACCCUAGAGUGGGGGAUAACGUAGCGAAAGUUACGCUAAUACCGCAUACGAUCUAAGGAUGAAAGUGGGGGAUCGCAAGACCUCAUGCUCGUGGAGCGGCCCGAUAUCUGAUUAGCUAGUUGGUAGGGUAAAAGCCUACCAAGGCAUCGAUCAGUAGCUGGUCUGAGAGGACGACCAGCCACACUGGAACUGAGACACGGUCCAGACUCCUACGGGAGGCAGCAGUGGGGAAUUUUGGACAAUGGGCGAAAGCCUGAUCCAGCAAUGCCGCGUGAGUGAAGAAGGCCUUCGGGUUGUAAAGCUCUUUUGUCAGGGAAGAAACGGUGAGAGCUAAUAUCUUUUGCUAAUGACGGUACCUGAAGAAUAAGCACCGGCUAACUACGUGCCAGCAGCCGCGGUAAUACGUAGGGUGCAAGCGUUAAUCGGAAUUACUGGGCGUAAAGCGUGCGCAGGCGGUUUUGUAAGUCUGAUGUGAAAUCCCCGGGCUCAACCUGGGAAUUGCAUUGGAGACUGCAAGGCUAGAAUCUGGCAGAGGGGGGUAGAAUUCCACGUGUAGCAGUGAAAUGCGUAGAUAUGUGGAGGAACACCGAUGGCGAAGGCAGCCCCCUGGGUCAAGAUUGACGCUCAUGCACGAAAGCGUGGGGAGCAAAC